UUAAUAUUUAUUUAUUAAUUUUUUUUUUAAAAAUUUUAUUUUAUUAAAAAUAAUUAUAUAUUUAAUUAUUUUUUUAGUAUUUUAUAAAGAAAAAAUAAUUUUAAUUAUAGUUUAUUAGUAUUGUUAAAGAAAAUUUAAAUAAUUUGAAAAAUUUUUAUUAUAAAAGAAAAUUUAAUUUAUUGUACCUUGUGUAUCAGGGUUUAUUUAUUAAAAAUUAUAUAUUAUAAUUUUUUCGAUUUUAAAAGAGUUAAUAUAUUAUGAAAGUUAUUGUAAUAAAAAUAUUUUUAAUAAUAUAUUAGAAAUGAAAUGUUAUUCGGUUUUAAAGAUAUCUAGAUUUUUAAGAAAUAAAUUUAAUUUAUAAAUUUUAUAUUAUUUAAUUUAAAUAAGUUAAUUAAAUAAUUAUUUUAUUUUAAUAUUUUAUGGGAUAAGCUAUAAAAUAAAUAUUUAAAAAUUAUUAAAUUAUAUUAAUAAAUAUAAAUUUAGAAAUAGUUAUUAUUAAUUAAAAUGUUAUAAUUAAUUUUAUAAUAAAAAUUAUUUAUUUAAUUUUAAAUAUUUAUUAAAAUAUUUAUUUUAAUAAUAAAAAUAAAAAAAUAGUGAUAAAAUUAGUAUAUUAUAAUUUGUAUAAGUUAAAUUAUAUGAAAAGAUUUUUUAAAGAAUUCGGCAAAUUUAAUAUUCGCCUGUUUAACAAAAACAUGUCUUUUUUUAUGAAUAAAAAGUUUAACCUGCCCACUGAAUAUUUAAAUGGCCGCAGUAUUUUAACUGUGCAAAGGUAGCAUAAUCAUUAGUCUUUUAAUUGAAGGCUUGAAUGAAUGGUUGGACGAGAUAUUAACUGUUUCAAAAAAUUUUUUUUUAGAAUUUUAUAUUUUAGUUAAAAAGCUAAAAUAUAUUUAAAAGACGAGAAGACCCUAUAAAUCUUUAUAUUUAAAUUUAUUAUUAAUUUAUAGAAAUUUUUAUUUAUAUUAUAAUUUAAAUAUUUUAUUGGGGUGAUAUUAAAAUUUAAUAAACUUUUAUUAAUAUUUUUACAUUAAUUUAUGAUUAAUUGAUCCGUUAUUAACGAUUAAAAAAUUAAGUUACUUUAGGGAUAACAGCGUAAUUUUUUUGGAGAGUUCAUAUCAAUAAAAAAGAUUGCGACCUCGAUGUUGGAUUAAGAUAUAAUUUAGGUGUAGUUGUUUAAAUCAUAAGUCUGUUCGACUUUUAAUUUCUUACAUGAUCUGAGUUCAAACCGGUUUAAGCCAGGUUGGUUUCUAUCUUUAAAAAAAAUAAAAUAUUUUAGUACGAAAGGAUUUGAUAUUUAAUAAAUUGUUAUUUAUAUAUAUAUAUAUAUAUAUAUAUAUUGAGUAUAAUUAAUAU
rnacentral:rRNA from 1 species